rnacentral:rRNA from 1 species
CUUGCGGGGGAUUAGUGGCGAACGGGUGAGUAACACGUGAGUAACCUGCCCUUAACUCUGGGAUAAGCCUUGGAAACGGGGUCUAAUACUGGAUAUUGACUUUACCUCGCAUGGGGUUUUGUUGAAAGAUUUAUUGGUUUUGGAUGGACUCGCGGCCUAUCAGCUUGUUGGUGAGGUAAUGGCUCACCAAGGCGACGACGGGUAGCCGGCCUGAGAGGGUGACCGGCCACACUGGGACUGAGACACGGCCCAGACUCCUACGGGAGGCAGCAGUGGGGAAUAUUGCACAAUGGGCGAAAGCCUGAUGCAGCGACGCCGCGUGAGGGAUGACGGCCUUCGGGUUGUAAACCUCUUUCAGUAGGGAACAAGGCCAGCAUUUUUGUUGGUUGAGGGUACUUGCAGAAGAAGCGCCGGCUAACUACGUGCCAGCAGCCGCGGUAAUACGUAGGGCGCAAGCGUUAUCCGGAAUUAUUGGGCGUAAAGAGCUCGUAGGCGGUUUGUCGCGUCUGCCGUGAAAGUCCGGGGCUCAACUCCGGAUCUGCGGUGGGUACGGGCAGACUAGAGUGAUGUAGGGGAGACUGGAAUUCCUGGUGUAGCGGUGAAAUGCGCAGAUAUCAGGAGGAACACCGAUGGCGAAGGCAGGUCUCUGGGCAUUAACUGACGCUGAGGAGCGAAAGCAUGGGGAGCGAA